GAUGAACGCUGGCGGCGUGCCUAAUACAUGCAAGUCGAACGAACUUCCGUUAAUUGAUCAGGACGUGCUUGCACUGAAUGAGAUUUUAACACGAAGUGAGUGGCGGACGGGUGAGUAACACGUGGGUAACCUGCCCAGAAGCAGGGGAUAACACCUGGAAACAGAUGCUAAUACCGUAUAACAGAGAAAACCGCCUGGUUUUCUUUUAAAAGAUGGCUCUGCUAUCACUUCUGGAUGGACCCGCGGCGCAUUAGCUAGUUGGUGAGGUAACGGCUCACCAAGGCGAUGAUGCGUAGCCGACCUGAGAGGGUAAUCGGCCACAUUGGGACUGAGACACGGCCCAGACUCCUACGGGAGGCAGCAGUAGGGAAUCUUCCACAAUGGACGCAAGUCUGAUGGAGCAACGCCGCGUGAGUGAAGAAGGGUUUCGGCUCGUAAAGCUCUGUUGUUAAAGAAGAACGUGGGUGAGAGUAACUGUUCACCCAGU
rnacentral:rRNA from 1 species